rnacentral:rRNA from 1 species
UACGUAGGGGGCAAGCGUUAUCCGGAUUUACUGGGUGUAAAGGGGGCGCAGACGGCAGCGCAAGCCAGGAGUGAAAGCCCGGGGCCCAACCCCGGGACUGCUCUUGGAACUGCGCGGCUGGAGUGCAGGAGGGGCAGGCGGAAUUCCUGGUGUAGCGGUGAAAUGCGUAGAUAUUAGGAGGAACACCAGUGGCGAAGGCGGCUUGCUGGACGAAAACUGACGUUGAGGCUCGAAAGCGUGGGGAGCAAACAGG